rnacentral:rRNA from 10 species
GUCUACAGCCAUACCACCCUGAACGCGCCCAAUCUCGUCUGAUCUCGGAAGCUAAGCAGGGUCGGGCCUGGUUAGUACUUGGAUGGGAGAAAUUUAAGCCUGUAACA